rnacentral:misc_RNA from 1 species
AAGGCUUGACAUACGCCAGAUGCCUCUGGAGACAGGGGUUCCUUUUGGGCUGGUGUACAGGUGGUGCAUGGCUGUCGUCAGCUCGUGUCGUGAGAUGUUGGGUUAAGUCCCGCAACGAGCGCAACCCUUAUCCUGUGUUGCCAGCACGCUCUCUUUUUGGGGGUGGUGGGGACUCACGGGAGACUGCCGGGGUCAACUCGGAGGAAGGUGGGGAUGACGUACCAGUAUCGGAA